rnacentral:rRNA from 1 species
UACGUAGGGUCCAAGCGUUAUCCGGAAUCACUGGGCGUAAAGCGUGCGUAGGCGGAUAUUUAAGUGAGAUGUGAAAGCGCGGGGCUCAACCCUGUCGUUGUGUCUCAUACUGGAUAUCUAGAGGGAAGCAGAGGCAAGUGGAAUUUGUAGUGUAGCAGUGAAAUGCGUAGAUAUUACAAGGAACACCAAUGGCGAAGGCAGCUUGCUGGGCUUCUUCUGACGCUGAGGUACGAAAGCGUGGGGAGCGAACAGG